rnacentral:rRNA from 1 species
CCUACGUGAGGCUGCAGUGAGGAAUAUUGGUCAAUGGGCGAGAGCCUGAACCAGCCAAGUCGCGUGAAGGAUGACGGCCCUACGGGUUGUAAACUUCUUUUGUCAGGGAGCAAUUGAGUCCACGUGUGGGCUUAGCGAGAGUACCUGAAGAAAAAGCAUCGGCUAACUCCGUGCCAGCAGCCGCGGUAAUACGGAGGAUGCGAGCGUUAUCCGGAUUUAUUGGGUUUAAGGGGUGCGUAGACGGAAUAUCAAGUCAGCGGGAAACAUUCGGGGCUCAACCGCGUCGUGCCGUUGAAACUGAUAGUCUGGAGUGGGCGAGAAGUAUGCGGAAUGCGUGGUGUAGCGGUGAAAUGCAUAGAUAUCACGCAGAAUUCCGAUUGCGAAGGCAGCAUACCGGCGCCAAACUGACGCUGAAGCACGAAAGCGUGGGUAUCGAACAGGAUUAGAUACCCCAGUAGUC